CCCGCCCCAUCCCCGGCUGUGGGGUCGGCGCGCAUGCGCGGCCCUCGGCUCGGCCUGGGCGCACCUUUUCUCCCUCCUGCCACAGUGUGAGCGCUCAACCGCGCAGAUAACCGCCGGCUGCCUGCUCCACCCCCGGCCCGCGCCCACUCCGCCCACUCCCGAGCGCCCAGGUGAAGAGAAUGUCUUCAAGCAGAACAGAAGACAGGAAGCAUACACAAUAAAAUGAAAUUCAAGAAUGAGUUCGGGGUCUAGUACACUCAGACUGUCUUCCUGGACACUUGACCCAUUCUUCCACCCUCUCUGUUGGUCAGGUUGUCCUGCUUGGAUGAGGGGUGUGUAGAGUGAUGGCCAAAAAUUGAGGUGACCUUCCAAGUGUUAUGACUCUCCAUCCAACUCUUUGUUUUUGUAAUCACAGUUUAUAUUAAUUCAACUUUCCAUUUUAA